CCUACGGGCGGCUGCAGUGGGGAAUAUUGGACAAUGGGCGAAAGCCUGAUCCAGCCAUGCCGCGUGUGUGAAGAAGGCCUUCGGGUUGUAAAGCACUUUCAGUGGGGAAGAAAGCCUUGGGGCUAAUACCCUCGAGGAAGGACAUCACCCACAGAAGAAGCACCGGCUAACUCCGUGCCAGCAGCCGCGGUAAUACGGAGGGUGCGAGCGUUAAUCGGAAUUACUGGGCGUAAAGCGCGCGUAGGCGGUCUGAUAAGCCGGUUGUGAAAGCCCCGGGCUCAACCUGGGAACGGCAUCCGGAACUGUCAGGCUAGAGUGCAGGAGAGGAAGGUAGAAUUCCCGGUGUAGCGGUGAAAUGCGUAGAGAUCGGGAGGAAUACCAGUGGCGAUGGCGGCCUUCUGGACUGACACUGACGCUGAGGUGCGAAAGCGUGGGUAGCAAACAGGAUUAGAUACCCUAGUAGUC
rnacentral:rRNA from 1 species